UACGUAGGGGGCAAGCGUUGUCCGGAUUUAUUGGGCGUAAAGAGCUCGUAGGCGGCUUGUCGCGUCGGCUGUGAAAUCCCCCGGCUCAACUGGGGAACUGCACAGGAAACUAGCGGGCUUGAGUUCGGGAGAGGGAAGCGGAAUUCCGGGUGUAGCGGUGAAAUGCGUAGAUAUCCGGAGGAACACCGGUGGCGAAGGCGGCACUCUGGGCCGGUACUGACGCUGAGGAGCGAAAGCGUGGGGAGCGAACAGG
rnacentral:rRNA from 1 species